rnacentral:rRNA from 1 species
UAGGUCCACGCCGUAAACGAUGUGUGCUAGAUGUCGGGUCCAUAGGAUUCGGUGUCGCAGCUAACGCACUAAGCACACCGCCUGGGGAGUACGGUCGCAAGAUUAAAACUCAAAGAAAUUGACGGGGACCCGCACAAGCGGUGGAGCAUGUUGUUUAAUUCGACGCAACGCGAAGAACCUUACCUACACUUGACAUACUCGUCGGGGAUUUCAGAGAUGAUUUCCUUCGGUUCGGCCGGACGAUGUACAGGUGCUGCACGGCUGUCGUCAGCUCGUGUCGUGAGAUGUUUGGUUAAGUCCAGCAACGAGCGCAACCCCUAUCGUAUGUUACCAGCAUUUAGUUGGGGACUCAUGCGAGACUGCCGGUGUUAAGCCGGAGGAAGGUGGGGACGACGUCAAGUCAUCAUGGCCCUUACGUGUAGGGCUACAAACGUGCUACAAUGGAUAUUACAGUGGGCAGCGACAUCGCGAGGUGAAGCUAAUCCCUAAAAGUAUUCUCAGUUC